CGCAGGUGGUUGAGAUCAUGGCCUUCAGGGAGAUAUGAUUACUUUACACAGCUGAUUGCUACCUGAAAGAAGUCAGACUACAAUUAAGACUGUCAGAAUCUUGAAUAUCAAGAGGGCACAGCCUUGGUCCCACGUCAUGUGAGUGACAUUAGCUUACUCCUAAAUAUUUCCGUCAUCACCCAGAGACAGUCCUCUACAACCU
rnacentral:lncRNA from 1 species